rnacentral:lncRNA from 1 species
CUGAAAAGUCAUCAAAGAUGGAAGCACAAUCAUCUACAGCAACCCCAAACACAACCUCAAACACUACUCCAAACACUAAACCAGUCUACUACACCAAACCUUAUAAGCAACACCUUAUGACGACCCCAUACACUAAACCAGUAAACCUUACCCAACUCAAAACCUUCAUCAAUCGAGUCUUCUACGAGGACAGUCCCUGGCCAACAGAUAACAUAACCAAAAACCAAUCCUUUUAUGAGUAUAUUCUAGUAGACUCUAAGUCUAUAGAAAUCACCCAUUACAAAGACAAGACGAACCCAAACCUCAUCAACUAUUCAACCUGCAAAUUCCUACGAAUUUGUUCUACCCAAGACCUUGGUUUUAUACAUCAUCAUACAACAAAACCUUUUUCUACCCCAGGCUAUCAUAUCGACGGCUACACCUAUACCGAUUACAAAAAUGCCUUUUUCCGAGCCUUUUUACUCAGACCCUAUGACCACUCUUGGUUCUUCAGUUUUGAUCAAAACUGCACAAAGACGAUACCGGGAUGGUUCAACGAAUGGUGGUACUGGUACGGACCAGCAGAUCCGAUCUACCCCGACCAAGUACUCAAGACCUCCUACCCAUUCUACAAGAAACACGUAUUUGAUCAACCAGUUGGGCCUCUAAACAAAAUCUGGUUUCAUAUUGACAUGGGCAUCCCAUGGAUAUGUUCAUGGCAUUUUACCCUCGCUAUCGCUCUCCAAGACAUGCCUUAUUCUCUCCUCCGGGAAUUCAGAGUCAAAUGGUGGGAAAAAUAUAACCUUGACAGAUGUUCCCUUGCAGGUAUCCAAAAAUAUUUCCAAAUUACAAAUCAAGCCAAAACAGCAAUCCAAACUAUAUCCAAAUCUAUACCUCUUCUCAACCCAACCCAAAUAUCCCAAACAAAUCCAAGUCCACAAAAAAGACCAACAUCAAGUCCAACAAGUUCAACAACCUCUUCCUCUUCCCAGAAAUCAUCAAGAAAAGAAAAAAUGAAGAAACUUAUCGCCGAAAUGCUGACGCAAUUUGAGGCGGAACAUGAUGAUACCGACGAUGACAACCAACAAGUUGACAUUAUGCAACCCGAAGAUCCUUACGGCGGCCCGUUGGGCCAGGAUCCGUAUGAUAAAAAAAAAAAAGAAAGUGAAAAUAUGUCUAUAUUUACAAUUUCGGUUUUAAGUAUAUUCUAGUAGACUCUGUACAUUAUUUCUGUAUUUUUUUCUCUGUAUUUUAUUACUACUAUCUACAAAAUAAUAUACAGAGUAUAUCUGUAUAACAAGACUUGCGAAGAAGCUAUGCAAGAAUUUUGAGAAAGAAUCCGGUAGACAAUGGUGGGACCCACAUGGGACCCACAUGAAGACUUCUGCACAAAACAAAAGCAUUAUUCAACAGUUAAGAAAGAAGUUCUCUCAAUUGUUAAUUGUACCUCAAAAUUCCAAGACGACUUAAUAAACAAAAUUUUUUUAUUGCGAGUAGAUUGCAAAUCAGCAAAAGAAAUAUUGCAAAAAGAUGUCAAAAACUUAGUAUCAAAACAAAUAUUUGCUAGAUGGCAAGUGAUAUUAUCCGUUUUCAAUUUUGAUAUUCAAUAUAUUAAAGGAGAAAAAAAAUUCUUUACCCGACUUUCUAACAAGAGAGUAUUUGCAGGGAAAAUCCACAGAUAAUCAACAACAACAAGAUAUUCAAAAUGAGUGACUAGAAGAUGAAAAAGCAGAUGACAGCAACGGAUUAUAUCAAAAACCAACCACAUCUCCAAGGAAGGACUUUAACUCCAAACCCUUACUCAGCAUUAGCUGAAUAUCCUCCUCUAUCUUAUUCAAAAGCAGUCUCUGAAAAGUCAUCAAAAACGGAAACACAAUCAUCUACAGCAACCCCAAACACAACCACAAACACUACCCCAAACACUAAACCAGUCUACUACACCAAACCUUAUAAGCAACACCUUAUGACGACCCCAUACACCAAACCAGUAAACCUUACCCAACUCAAAACCUUCAUCAAUCGAGUCUUCUACGAGGACAGUCCCUGGCCAACAGAUAACAUAACCAAAAACCAAUCCUUUUAUGAGUAUAUUCUAGUAGACUCUAAGUCUAUAGAAAUCACCCAUUACAAAGACAAGACGAACCCAA